rnacentral:rRNA from 1 species
CCUACGGGAGGCAGCAGUGGGGAAUAUUGCACAAUGGGGGAAACCCUGAUGCAGCGACGCCGCGUGAGCGAAGAAGUAUUUCGGUAUGUAAAGCUCUAUCAGCAGGGAAGAAACUGACGGUACCUGACUAAGAAGCACCGGCUAAAUACGUGCCAGCAGCCGCGGUAAUACGUAUGGUGCAAGCGUUAUCCGGAUUUACUGGGUGUAAAGGGAGCGUAGACGGAUAGGCAAGUCUGGAGUGAAAGCCCGGGGCUCAACCCCGGGACUGCUUUGGAAACUGUUUAUCUAGAGUGCUGGAGAGGUAAGUGGAAUUCCUAGUGUAGCGGUGAAAUGCGUAGAUAUUAGGAGGAACACCAGUGGCGAAGGCGGCUUACUGGACAGUAACUGACGUUGAGGCUCGAAAGCGUGGGGAGCAAACAGGAUUAGAUACCCUUGUAGUC